AGUAGAAUGGCUGAGAAUUAGGCGUAAGAUUGUAAAUCUUUUAAGGAGGUGUAUAACUCUUCUAUUA
rnacentral:tRNA from 1 species